CUCUUUCCUUGGCUGCUCAGGUCAUAGGUGCUGCAAUCUAGAGACAAAAUAUUCCUUACACUGCCAGAUACUUGCAAACUAAGGGGAACGAGCUUCCCUCUGAAUGUUUAUGAAGGAGAGACCACUGUGUCAUCUGUCUUAGAGCUAUUGGAAUCCUGGAUCAUUGUGGGAAAUGAAAAGAACUGGUUUUUAGCAAGGAGACCAAGAAACUCUACUCCCUAGGGGCUAGCAAUGAGAGAAAGGAAGCCUUGAGUCUUUGAGCACAGGGUGACAGUUUGGGUCCUAUGUGAGAUGAUCAAAUCCACAGCAACAGAGGAAAGGACAAAAGGAAAAGGUCUGUAGCAGCACUACAUCAGAAAAAAUGGAUUCCGCAAGGAAGUGGGUGACUCUGAAUACUUCGAUGGAAUCAGCAGCCAUUGAUCCAAUGCCAACUCCAAGACUGGAACGUCGCAAUGAUAGUUCCAAGGCGGAAAUUUGACGUAAUUCUUUUCGACACAGUUUUACAGGCAUCUUGCAUGUGAAUAACUCACAACUUUAAUUCAUGGAACAAAUUGAGAAAUAGUCUUUUGGGGGUUUGGUACUCCCUGGAAACAUAAGAGUGCUUUGGGCACCUCUGGUGCCUUUCCAUGCCUGCCUUCUCUGCUGUUCUUGCUACUAGUGAAUUCUAAAUCAUGGCCAAGUGAUGCCAGCACUGGAUAAUAUUGGCUCUGCCCCAUAUCUCGAGGGAAAACUCUGGGACUUGGCAUUAUAUGUGUGGGAAUCUGGCCUUGGUUGGCACUCCCAGCAUGAUAGCAGGGUUCUGCUGUCUGAAUGUACUCUGGGGUGUGCGCCACAAUUUCUGUCAUCGAAAUGGAGAUGAGAGAAUAUGCCCUUGGUGGGGACACCCCACUGGAAUUAGAGUGAAGAGAUCAAAGCUAGAGGUUCUUAAAUCAAAGAAUGUCUAAUAGCAAAGACAAAAACUUGCUUAAGAGAAAUGCAUACAGGUACUAGACCUAAUAUGAUGAAAAAUGCUAACUUCAACAUAUUGAUGCAUGCUUAGUAUACUUUUAGUCCUGCAAAGACAAAAGUUUUUUGUUUGUUUUUUUUUGAGACGGAGUCUCGCUCUGUCGCCCAGGUUGGAGUGCAGUGGUGUGAUCUCGGCUUACUGCAAGCUCUGCCUCCUGGGUUCACACCAUUCUCCUGCCUCAGCCUCCGGAGUAGCUGGGACUACAGGCGCCCGCCACCACGCCCGGCUAAUUUUUUGUAUUUUUAGUAGAGAUGGGGUUUCACCGUGUUAGCCAGGAUGGUCUCGAUCUCCUGACCUCAGGUGAUCCGCCUGCCUUGGCCUCCCAAAGUGCUGGGAUUACAGGCAUGAGCCACCGCACCUGGCCCAGUCCUGCCAAGACAAAGUUUUAAAACACAGGUUGCACAUUGGCAGCUCUCAAGCCAAAUCUGGCCCAUAGACAUGGUUUGCUUGGCCUAUAAUGUUAGUAAUACUUGACCCAAGAUUUAAAAUUUGAAAAGUUUCAUAUAAAAAUAUAGAUUUACAGCUUUUCUAGAAAAACUAUAAGAGUUAACAGUUUCUGAAUUGCAACAGCAGCUGGAACACCGUUGCCACUGACCAUUUAGAUGACUGCUGCAGUCCCCACGGCUCACUCUGGUUCAGGUAGGGGUUCUAGUUUGUAACCCCUGGUUUAAAACAUAACUGACUCUCUAGUUUUUAAAAUUCUCUCAAAAUCAAAUAACCUGAACUAGCAAAUGAUCUAGAUCCUCGUACAUGGAACUCAUACUAAGUUGACCACAGACAGUGGCUCCCAAACUCUGCAGUACAUCAGAGUCACUGGGAAGCUUUAAAAAAUCCUGCUCCCUAGCUGGGUGCAGUGGUUUAUGCCUGUAGCCCCAGCUACUUGAGAGGCUGAGGUGGGAGGAUUGCUCAAGCCCAGGAGUUUGAGGCUGCAGUGAGCCAUGAAUGUACCACUACACUCCAGCCUGGGCAACAGAGCAAGACCCCAACUCUAAAAAAAAAUCCUGCUCCCCAGGUGACAGUAUCUGGGGGAAGGAGUAAGGCAUCUUAUUUUCAAAAGAUCAUAAGAAAAGAGGCUCAUUGCUGAGGCUCACUCCGGAGCCCACUUGGAUUCUUCACAAGAAAGUUUCCCUCUUCCAGAAUUUUAUAAUUGAGGGAACCGACUAGGGAAAGAUUAAUUUGCCCAAGGUCAAACAACUAGUAAAAGAAGUAAGGAUUCCAACCCAGAUCUUUUGACUCUAUUAUCCUUACAUAUAGUUUUAUAGUGAUUUAAAUUGAUACAAGGAUAGGUUUAAAUACAAGUAGAAUGCAGGUUCAUAUAAAACUGAUUUUAUCCUCAUGUUAGAAAACAUAUACACUGUAACAGAGGGAUGACCAUCAAGUGACCAAGAUAUUUUAGUCAAAAGAUGAAUUUUUCUGCAAUUGGAGAAUGCCAAAAAUAUUCAAAGAAAAUAUAAGUCUUGUAGGCAGUCUUCUAUCAAAACCCACUGAACCGCUGGGCACGGUGGCUCAUGCCUGUAAUUCCAGCACUUUGGGAGGCCAAGGCUGGUGGAUCACCUGAGGUCAGGAGUUUGAGACCAGCCUGGCCGACAUGGUCUCUACUAAAAAUACAAAAAAUUAGCUGGGCCUGGUGGCGGCACCUGUAAUCCCAGCUACUGAGGAGGCUGAGGCAGGAGAAUUGUUUGAACCUUGGAGGUAGAGGCUGCAGUGAGCUGAGAUAGCACCACUGCACUCCAGCCUGGGUAACAAGAGUGAAACUCCAUUCAAAAACAAAAAACAAACAAAAAAAAAACAAUGCACCAAAUACUAAGUUAUUAACUAGGAUACUGAUUAUUAAGCAUGUAAAACAUUUUAUGGAACUCAGAGUUUGAUGUAAAUUGCUAUAUUUUAUAAUUCAAACAAACCUUGUUUCAUGUCAUUAUAUUAGAGUAGCAUUAUGAGACAGGAUAUAGUGUAAGCUAUAUCCCCAAUAUAAUUGCAACUGUAUAUUUUAAAGCAUGGGGAAAAUAUGAAAAGAAUUAUGCUCAAAUGUGGGUAGGAUUAUAACUGAUUUGUUUUCUUCAUUUUCAGAUUUUUCUAUAAUGACUAUACAUUAUUUUUAUAGUCAAAAAUAGAAGUAUUUUAAAUGUUUCUAGGUAGAAUAGCAAAUUAGCUGAAAUAGUAUCUCCAACGUUAUUAUCAAGACUAGACUCCUUGGGUAAAUUGGUCAGAACAGUGUUGUUCUCAUUUUACACCUCUCCAAGAUUAACUAUGUUUUAGAUUUGUGUGUGUGUUUGGUUAAAGAGCCAGGAUGAAGAUCCAGAGUUCUUAAACCUGUAUACCACCAUACUACAUUGUCAUUUUAAAGAAAUGUCUAGUAGACUCGGUGGCAUAAACAUGGGCCAUUUACAAACUAGAUGUCUAAUAUCAGAUACCUCAAAUUUGACAGUAGACUUUUUUUCAAAGCUAAAGUGGUCUUAUGUUGACUAUUUUGUUUCUUACUUGAUACUUGUUUACUUUUUAAUUUUUGGCAAGUAAUGUUUCAAGUUAAAGUUUUAGCUAUAUAUAGCAGGCAGUAUUUCAAGUAAAUGAGUUACAUCAGUAAACACCUCUGUAUUACUAAACUGAGAAUCAGAAAAUGUAAUCUCUUUGGCAGGAUUCGUAUGUUUGUAUCACGUCUUUAUCCUCAGGCAACUUUUAUCUUGGAAUACUGAACCAGCAGUCAGAAUAUGAGGGACAUUAGACUGUGUUAUAGUUACUGUUCUGUCCUUAAGUCACUUGCCUUCUCUAAGUGUCAGUUGCCUCAUCUGAAAAUGGAGUUAGCAGACCCCAGCCUAUCCUGAGUUUGAGGGCUAAAGGGAAUUAUUCUUGAAAAUGUCUAUACAUGAUAAAUGUCACAAAUAUAACUUAGCAUUUUUUUUUUGAGACAGAGUUUCGCUCUUGUGGCCCAGGUCGGGGUGCAAUGUCGUGAUCUCAGCUCACUGCAACCUCUGCCUCCCGGGUUCAAGCGAUUCUCCUGCCUCAGCCUCCUGAGUAGCUGGGAUUACAGGCAUGCACCACCACACCUGGCUAAUUUUGUAUUUUUUAAUAGAGACGGGGUUUCACCAUGUUGGUCAGGUUGGUCUCGAACUCCUACCCUCCGGUGAUCCACCCGCCUUGGCCUCCCAAAGUGCUGGGAUUACAGGCAUGAGCCACCGCACCUAGCCAAUUCUACUUCUAUUACAUUUUCAGCAUAUAUCACUUCAUUGCUCCUCCAUAUUAUUUUUCACUGGUCUUCUUACAUCUUGUGUGCCCAUAUUUAAGUAGUUUUCUUUCCAGGUAAAAAAUACAUGUGUGCCUAAAAGAUUUUAAAGUCAACUUUUCAUAAACCAUACCUAAAUUAUCAAAGUUAUUAGAAUUAUUAGAAAGUAUUAGCUAAUUCUUUUAUAAAAUGUAGACUUUAUUAUUUUAGAAAUAUUGAUUCCUCUCUAUUCAGCUAUCUUAAAGAGGGUAUAUUUUAAUCAUCGCAAUAUAUUACCUUCAUAGUAUUUUUUACUUUUGCAAAGUAUAUUUUGUCAUGUUAUUUCAUUUAGGAAUGCACUAAAUCUACAUAUCUACAUAUGAUUAUACAAGGAAACAUCUUUGUCUCAAAAAUGGGUUCUAUUACAUUUUUUAAUUUCCAGGGGUCAUGAUAUAUAAAAAGACCUGAUUUAUCUUAAAAAUACAUACUUUUAUUCUUACCUACCAUACAUCUUUUUUUGUGAUAAUCAGAAGGCUUAAUUUACUAUAAAAUAGGAAAACAACAGCUAUGUUAGAUUAUAUAGUUAAUUUAGGGAUUAAAUGAGUUAAGGUCUACAAGCCCCUGGCACAUGGCAGACAAUCAAUAAUUGAUCAUUUCCUUUGCAUCUAUAAAUUUGUUCAUUCACUUCUCAUGUGGUUCUACCUUAGACAACGAUUUUUGUUUACAGAGACAAAUAGAAGUAUCUAAUCCUAAAUAACCCAAUCAAUUGGUAAAGGCUACACUACAAAGCUGGCAUGACUUCACCAAAUGCUAGAGAAACAGUGUUAAGAGUGACAACACUAAAAGUCUUACACUCUGAUGAUGCUAGUUGCCGCCGAAUUGCUUCCCCUACCAGUUCCUUAAGUUUCUUCUUAUGAUCCCGGCUGGUUUUCUUAUAGAAAUAAAGAUCUUUUUCCAACUGCUGGAUUUUAUCUUCAUAUGUUUUGAAAGUUUCCAUAAUGCCUUCUCCAUCUUGUUCUAUACAACAAAAAUUUGCAUUUAAAAUCAGUUUUAAAUAAAUGAUGCAAAAUUAUG
rnacentral:lncRNA from 1 species